rnacentral:rRNA from 1 species
UGGGGGAUAUUGCACAAUGGGCGAAAGCCUGCUGCAGCGACGCCGCGUGGGGGAUGAAGGCCUUCGGGUUGUAAACUUCUUUUGCUCUGAACAAGGCAUGCUUUUGGGGUGUGUUGAGUGUAGGGGUUGAUUAGCGCCGGCUAACUACGUGCCAGCAGCCGCGGUAAUACGUAGGGCGCGAGCGUUGUCCGGAAUUAUUGGGCGUAAAGGGCUUGUAGGUGGCUGGUUGCGUCUGUCGUGAAAGCUCAUGGCUUAACUGUGGGUUUGCGGUGGGUACGGGCUGGCUUGAGUGCAGUAGGGGAGGCUGGAAUUCCUGGUGUAGCGGUGGAAUGCGCAGAUAUCAGGAGGAAUACCGGUGGCGAAGGCGGGUCUCUGGGCUGUUACUGACGCUGAGGAGCGAAAGCGUGGGGAGCGAACAGG